rnacentral:rRNA from 1 species
GAUGAACGCUGGCGGCGUGCCUAAUACAUGCAAGUCGAGCGAACGGACGAGAAGCUUGCUUCUCUGAUGUUAGCGGCGGGCGGGUGAGUAACACGUGGAUAACCUACCUAUAAGACUGGGAUAACUUCGGGAAACCGUAGCUAAUACCGGAUAAUAUUUUGAACCGCAUGGUUCAAUAGUGAAAGACGGUCUUGCUGUCACUUAUAGAUGGAUCCGCGCUGCAUUAGCUAGUUGGUAAGGUAACGGCUUACCAAGGCAACGAUGCAUAGCCGACCUGAGAGGGUGAUCGGCCACACUGGAACUGAGACACGGUCCAGACUCCUACGGGAGGCAGCAGUAGGGAAUCUUCCGCAAUGGGCGAAAGCCUGACGGAGCAACGCCGCGUGAGUGAUGAAGGUCUUCGGAUCGUAAAGCUCUGUUAUUAGGGAAGAACAUAUGUGUAAGUAACUGUGCACAUCUUGACGGUACCUAAUCAGAAAGCCACGGCUAACUACGUG